UACGAGGGGGGCAAGCGUUGUUCGGAAUUAUUGGGCGUAAAGGGUGCGUAGGCGGUCUGUCGCGUCGGCUGUGAAAACCCGGAGCUCAACUCCGGGCCUGCAGUCGAUACGGGCAAACUGGAGUACUGCAGGGGAGACUGGAAUUCCUGGUGUAGCGGUGGAAUGCGCAGAUAUCAGGAAGAACACCCGUGGCGAAGGCGGCUCUCUGGAACGCAAACUGGACGCU
rnacentral:rRNA from 1 species